rnacentral:lncRNA from 1 species
CUGCUGCCUCCCCCGCCUUGGCUGGCUCAUCCCUUGUAGGUCCUGCCGGGCUGGGGCCUGGGGUCUCCGAUGGGCUCUCGGCUGGCUCGUCCCCUGCAGGUCCUGCCGGGCGGGGGCCUGGGGUCUCCGAUGGGCUCUCGGCUGGCUCAUCCCUUGUAGGUCCUGCCGGGCUGGGGCCUGGGGUCUCCGAUGGGCUCUCGGCUGGCUCGUCCCCUGCAGGUCCUGCUGGGCGGGGGCCUGGGGUCUCCGAUGGGCUC